UUAGAAUAAAAUGGAACUUCGAAGAGCUCUUCAUCUGGAACUCCUUAAUUUUUCACCCCUCGUCAUCUCCAAAUCUCGUUCUCCUCUGCAUUUUUCGAGUUCCUAGAACAUCUAUUCCUUAGGUUUUUCUCCAUUUCCAUCGAUUGAUUUCCAUUUUGCAUCGAUUAAACUACUUUCCACCGAACAAACUAGCAUUUCCACCGUUUAAUCUUGCAUUUGAACCGAUUAAUCGGUUCAUUGAGUUUCUUCAUCUUUCUAGGGUUCCUUCGUGUUCAGGGUUCUUCCUCAACCUAGGGUUUUCAACCGAUUAACCUAGGGUUUUAGAGUUUAUGUGAGUUCAUCCUCUCCUUCGAAUUAUCGUCAUCAUUCCGCUACGAUUCAUUCACCGGAGGGAGCUUCAAGAAGUUAACAUCGCUUCGCUUAGUGUUCUUCUCGGAGCGGCUUCCAUCAUCUCUUCUUCCUCUUUUGUUUUCUUUUUAUUUUUCUUAUCCGAAACCAUAGGGCNAGAGGGGAAAUAGCGGCAAGUGAGAGAGAGGACAUUAAACGUCCGGAGAGAAACAUAACUAGGGAUUAAGGCUUGGUUUCAAGGUGAGUAAUGGAAAAAGGGGAAUCUAAGGCGGGUGUUAGGGUUCGAGUUGAGUGAGAGAAAGAGGUUGCUGGGUUUUAAGCUCGGUAGAAGAAGUUGUGCAGUGAGGAAGAUUAAUUUUCCAGGCUCUUUCUGCUCCUGAUCUGUCAGCUGUUGGUGAACGUUAUUACAAGGUCACUGCAGAAGCCUUGAGAGUAUGUGGAGAACUUGUUUGGGUUGUGCGGCCAAACAUUGAGGAGGUUAAGGAGUGUGCUAUUUCCUG